rnacentral:rRNA from 1 species
AUGAACGCUGGCGGCGUGCCUAAUACAUGCAAGUCGAGCGAACGGACGAGAAGCUUGCUUUUCUGAUGUUAGCGGCGGACGGGUGAGUAACACGUGGAUAACCUACCUAUAAGACUGGGAUAACUUCGGGAAACCGGAGCUAAUACCGGAUAAUAUUUUGAACCGCAUGGUUCAAAAGUGAAAGACGGUCUUGCUGUCACUUAUAGAUGGAUCCGCGCUGCAUUAGCUAGUUGGUAAGGUAACGGCUUACCAAGGCAACGAUGCAUAGCCGACCUGAGAGGGUGAUCGGCCACACUGGAACUGAGACACGGUCCAGACUCCUACGGGAGGCAGCAGUAGGGAAUCUUCCGCAAUGGGCGAAAGCCUGACGGAGCAACGCCGCGUGAGUGAUGAAGGUCUUCGGAUCGUAAAACUCUGUUAUUAGGGAAGAACAUAUGUGUAAGUAACUGUGCACACCUUGACGGUACCUAAUCAGAAAGCCACGGCUAAUUACGUG